AAUAACCUUGUCCAUACUGGACUCACUAGGAUGGAAGAACCGUCUUCUUCCAGGCUUUUGGUUGAAGUUCGCCAAGCGCCGAGAUCAGGCCAUUCCAGAUGACCUGCCACUCGAGUGGUUAACGGGGAGCCUGGUGUCCGCUCGGCAGCGCGACAGCAGCGCUUGUGGCGCUUUUGUUAUGCUGAACGCCUUAGCAAUCACAGAAGGCGUCCAACCCCAUAUGUUGGGCCACCAUCAUGCGUUGGCCAUGCGGAAGUACGUAAUGCAUGCCAUUUGUACUGCCAGCCAGAGCCCCGAUGACCCUGACCGCAUGUGUGAUGCGUUGCCGUGCACGCAGCCAAAGGGGGCUUGCACGUGGAUAAACUGCGAUGUGUGUGGUCGUUGGGUAGAUUGCAACUGUGUUAACAUAAGCGACCCUAAAAGCAUAAAAGACUACGUAUGUGUAAUCUGCACCGCAAUCUAUACAUGACACUGAACUGAAGUGGAAUU